rnacentral:rRNA from 1 species
CAGUUCAGACUGCAGGCUGCAACUCGCCUGCACGAAGUCGGAAUUGCUAGUAAUCGUAGGUCAGCAUACUACGGUGAAUACGUUCCCGGGCCUUGUACACACCGCCCGUCAAACCAUGAGAGUUGGCAACACCCGAAGUCGGUAGUCUAACCGCAAGGAGGACGCCGCCGAAGGUGGGGUUGAUGAUUAGGGUUAAGUCGUAACAAGGUAUC